rnacentral:tRNA from 1 species
AUGAAGAAAGUGACAGAGUGGUAAUGUGGUUGGCUUGAAACCAACAUAUGGGGGUUCAAUUCCUUCCUUUCUUG